GAGAUCAGUUCAUCAAGUACUGCAGACAGCAAGGGCUGGGCCAACAGAUGGACUAAAGAGGGUGAGACCCGGAUGGAGAAGAAUCGCAUUUAAAAUCAAGUGGAAGGACUGCGCCAUUAGUGAGCUGGGGAGCAAACCAAGGGUUGCCCUGGAAAUACGGUAGUACCUUCGAAUAACAGAAUCUUUUGUAUCCUUUGCUGAAGUCUGAAUGUAGCUCUUUUGUACAGAACAUUCUCUGAGACAACCAGGGUCAUGGUGACCGGCCUCUCAGCUUGCCUGGAAAUAAGGGGUUGUGGGAGCAGGGGUUCUCCAAGCUACAACUAGGAAAGUCCUGGGACAUGGGAUGAAUUGGUCACCCUGUGGAGGUCCAGUUUCUGAGACAGGUGUGAAAGCCAGUUGAUUUCUCCAUUUUUGGUUAAACUUCAGCAAUGAGCAAUUUUAUGACCACUACCUUACCUGGUGAAAUCUAAGUUUUUCUGAAACCUGGCAUCUGCUCCUACCGCAGUUGAAAAGCAAGUUCUAGAUUUUCAGGGUUGUUAGGACUGCUAGUUGACAAAUCCAAAAGCUAUCUUUUAGACCCUGCCCUCUCC
rnacentral:lncRNA from 12 species